rnacentral:rRNA from 1 species
AGCGGCGGACGGGUGAGUAACGCGUGGGAAUAUGCCCUUCUCUAAGGAAUAGCCUCGGGAAACUGAGAGUAAUACCUUAUACGCCCUUCGGGGGAAAGAUUUAUCGGAGAAGGAUUAGCCCGCGUUAGAUUAGGUAGUUGGUGGGGUAAUGGCCUACCAAGCCUACGAUCUAUAGCUGGUUUGAGAGGAUGAUCAGCCACACUGGGACUGAGACGCGGCCCAGACUCCUACGGGAGGCAGCAGUAGGGAAUCUUAGACAAUGGGGGAAACCCUGAUCUAGCCAUGCCGCGUGUGUGAUGAAGGCCUUAGGGUCGUAAAGCACUUUCGCCAGAGAUGAUAAUGACAGUAUCUGGUAAAGAAACCCCGGCUAACUCCGUGCCAGCAGCCGCGGUAAUACGGAGGGGGUUAGCGUUGUUCGGAAUUACUGGGCGUAAAGCGCACGUAGGCGGAUUAGUAAGUUAGAGGUGAAAUCCCAGGGCUCAACCCUGGAACUGCCUUUAAUACUGCUAGUCUUGAGUUCGAGAGAGGUAAGUGGAAUUCCGAGUGUAGAGGUGAAAUUCGUAGAUAUUCGGAGGAACACCAGUGGCGAACGCGGCUUACUGGCUCGAUACUGACGCUGAGUGCGAAAGUGUGGGGAGCAAACAGGAUUAGAUACCCUGGUAGUCCACACGUA